GCAACUCGCCUACACGAAGCUGGAAUCGCUAGUAAUCGCGGAUCAGCACGCCGCGGUGAAUACGUUCCCGGGCCUUGUACACACCGCCCGUCACACCAUGAGAGUCUGUAACACCCAAAGCCGGUGGGAUAACCUUUAUAGGAGUCAGCCGUCUAGGGUAGGACAGAUGAUUAGGGGUGAAGUCGUAACAAGGUAGC
rnacentral:rRNA from 1 species